AUGUCAAUCUCCGCCGUGCCCUCAAAUAAUUCUCUCCGUUCUCGCUCAAUCUCUCUGUCCCAAUUUGUUUUCGAUUUCAUCUUCUACUCUCCGCCUUCGUUCUCAUCUGAAUCGCCGCCUUCGUUCUCAUCUGAAUCGCCACCGUCUCCCUUCUUCGUCAAUAAUCUGAACAAGAUAUGUGGAUUUCGUUGCGUCUUCACCAUGUUUGAAACAUCAUCGGAGUGA